AAAUUAUACGAAGGGACCCAACACAGAAAAUUCAUUUUAUUGAAUUUUACAUUUAUGUGCAUGUUGGGCAAAGUGUCUU
rnacentral:sRNA from 1 species